AACGAACGCUGGCGGCAUGCCUAACACAUGCAAGUCGAACGAGACCUUCGGGUCUAGUGGCGCACGGGUGCGUAACGCGUGGGAACCUGCCCUUAGGUUCGGAAUAACUCCCCGAAAGGGGUGCUAAUACCGGAUAAUGUCUUCGGACCAAAGAUUUAUCGCCUUUGGAUGGGCCCGCGUUGGAUUAGCUAGUUGGUAGGGUAAGAGCCUACCAAGGCGACGAUCCAUAGCUGGUCUGAGAGGAUGAUCAGCCACACUGGGACUGAGACACGGCCCAGACUCCUACGGGAGGCAGCAGUGGGGAAUAUUGGACAAUGGGCGAAAGCCUGAUCCAGCAAUGCCGCGUGAGUGUUGAAGGCCUUAGGGUUGUAAAGCUCUUUUACCCGGGAUGAUAAUGACAGUACCGGGAGAAUAAGCUCCGGCUAACUCCGUG
rnacentral:rRNA from 1 species